AAUAUAAGCCGUUGAUCUCGUUGGACAGCCGCGUAAUACACUCCCACGAAACCCUAGCCUGUAAGGUCUGAUCUCUCUCGCUCGUCAAGUGUUUGCCGGCGGUUCCAUCACAGCAAGAAGCAAACUAAUUCAUGGGUAAGGUUCACGGAUCGCUGGCACGUGCCGGAAAGGUGAGGGGUCAGACUCCGAAGGUGGCCAAGCAGGACAAGAAGAAGAAGCCGCGAGGCCGCGCCCACAAGCGUAUGCAGUACAAUCGCCGCUUCGUCACCGCCGUAGUUGGAUUUGGGAAGAAGCGUGGACCCAAUUCUUCAGAGAAGUAAGCAGCUUGCUGUAUGAGGAGUUUGGUUAUGGAGGCAGUGGUUGAUCAUGAAGCACUAGUUUGGCACUCUUAUAUUUUAUUUAUAGCUUAACUACAAUUCAGUUUAUUUGUUUAUACUUAAAACCUGAAUUUGUUUUGUUCAAGACACUUCUCAGAGGUUUAAAAUUUGCAAAUGCAUGGGCUGUGCCCAUUUUGAGA